rnacentral:rRNA from 1 species
CCUACGGGUGACAGCAGUGAGGAAUAUUGGUCAAUGGGCGCGAGCCUGAACCAGCCAAGCCGCGUGAAGGAUGACUGCCCUACGGGUUGUAAACUUCUUUUAUCAGGGAAUAAAACGCGGCACGUGUGCCUUUUUGCAUGUACUUUAAGAAUAAGCAUCGGCUAACUCCGUGCCAGCAGCCGCGGUAAUACGGAGGAUCCGAGCGUUAUCCGGAUUUAUUGGGUUUAAAGGGUGCGGAGAUGGGUAGUUAAGUCAGUUGUGAAAGUUUGCGGCUCAACCGUAAAGUUGCAAUUGAUACUGGCAGUCUUGAGUACAGUUGAGGUAGGCGGAAGGCGUGGUGUAGCGGUGAAAUGCUUAGAUAUCACGAAGAACUCCGAUUGCGAAGGCAGCAUACUA